rnacentral:sRNA from 1 species
UUGCGCAAGUCAUAUUUAAUCCAGCAAUCUUAGCAAUCCUCUGCCGCCGCCGAUCCCUUAUCGUUAUCCACAGAAUCACUGCCCGGACAUCAGUCCACGGCGACCGACCUUAGGCAGGCGGUUGCGGCCAGACGCUCCUACAGGCGUCGUCAGGCCCCCGGGCUACGCCCCGUCCAGAAGACGAGGCGAGGUGAGCCGACGCCACAAGCGUCGAGCACGGACUCUAUCUUCCAGAAGGGAGGCCCUCGGGCCUCCCU